GAAGUUGACGACUGUCUGUCCCUGGCCCUCGCUUUUGUUUCCUUGGCUCUGCUUCGCCUCACUUGUUCACUCUCUCGCUCCUCUCCUCUCCCCAAACGAGGCACCGUUCUUCUCGAUUUUUUAACGAGCCCUAAACCCUAAUUCUUUUAUUCCCCUCAAAAUUCCCCACCUUUCAUCUUAAAUUCUUCACAAUAACCCUUUAAACCCUUACAAAAAAUAAGCCUCUUCCUUCUCCCACUUUUCAAAUUGCCUCCUUUGUUCUGUUUUUAGUUUCGUUUUAUAGUGGAAACGAACCUUUUUUGCAAAGUAAACAAACUCUUUUACUUAUAUCGUAACCCAGUUUGAUUUUUAGUGUUUUUUAGGUGAACUUGUUUUCUUUUUCAACGAUUUUUUCUUUUUCAUCUCAGCAACACCAGAGGAAGCAUCCUAAUUUUAAGAGCAAUUUCAGUUUAUGGCAUUUGGGGUUUGUUGUUAAAAAGAAUUAGGGUUUUUGUUUGACGAUCACAUAGAUGGCAGAUUGUUGUAUUUCUGAAAUUUGGUUUUUGUCUCACUCCAAAAGCUGAAAGAUUUUUUCUUGGGUUUGUGUAAAGUUAGGGGUUUUGUUUGAUAAUUACAUGAAUGGCUUCAGGUCCAUUACUUGGUGAUGCUGGAGAGAAGCAGAAGAAGAAAUUGUAUAACAGAAAGAACCAAAACGUUUCCGAUAAUCCCAACAAUGUCCCUCAAUACUAUCAACAACACAAGCGCCAGAAAUCUUCACAACAACACCUAGCCACCACUAUUGAUGACAACUCCUCGCAGCCUCAGACUAUUCCUGCAGUAUCAGAAGAUUCCUCAAGCCACAACCUUGAGCAACCGGGUGUUGCCCUAAACAGCCGUGAACCCAGCAAUGCUAUUGGAGUACCAGGUUAUGUUAAGUUUGAUAACUUUGUACGGAUUAAUUUAAAUUUAAGAAAUAGGGAUGAGGUUAGAGCACUUAAAAGAAAGCUUUCAAGCGAACUUGAUCAAGUGUUGAGUCUGGUUAAGAGGCUUGAAACUACACAGAGCCAGUUAAGUAAACAUGUAAAUAGAAAUUCAAUGAGAAAGAGUUCUGAGAUGGGUUCUGUAGAACCUGCAAAUCCACGGUCUUUCCGGGGAUCAACUGUAUCUGUGAGUGAGAAUGAGAAUAAUCCUGGAGUUAAUGGUGAAAUGGUAGACAAAAUGAAAAAGGCACCAAAAGUUAAUCAGAAUAAGAAAAAGUCUGACGCCCUUGUGGUAAGGGAAAAGUCAACCUCAAUGGAGAUUAAGAAGAAGUCUGAUGCUCCUGUGAGAAGGGAAAAGUCAACCCCAAUGGAGAGUAAGAAGUUCAAAUCCUGUGAAACAGGGGGUGGGCUUGUGUUAGAUAAGGGUUUGAGUAGAUUGUUUAAGAAUUGUAGUAAUUUGUUAGAGAAGUUAAUGAAGCAUAAGUUCGGUUGGGUGUUUAAUAAGCCGGUGGAUGUGAAGGGGCUUGGAUUACAUGAUUAUUAUACGAUAGUUAAGCAUCCAAUGGAUUUGGGCACAGUGAAGGUUAGGUUGAGUAAAAAGUUGUACAAAUCACCUAAAGAGUUUGCUGAGGAUGUGAGGCUUACAUUUAACAAUGCCAUCUUGUAUAAUCCAAAGGGUCAGGAUGUGCAUAUAAUGGCUGAGCAAUUGUUAAUGAUAUUUGAAGAGAAGUGGACAAAAAUAGAGGCCGAGUAUAAUUUUAGUGGGAGUUCAGAAAUGGGGAAUGAGUCUGGUUUGCCAACAUCCACUUCAAGGACGACUCCAGUUCCUGGUGCACCAGUACGUACACCAGCUCCUGCUCCUGCUACACCAGUUCAUUUUCCAGUUCCUGCUCCUUCUACACCAGUUCAUAUUCCUGUUCCUGCUCUGUCUCCUCAGCCUACAGAAGCAAGGAAUUUGGAAAGACUGGAGUUGAUGACAAUGCAUGUGGAUCCAAAGACUAAAAUUGCGGAUCAUCAAGCUAAGACACCAGUUCUAAAGAAGCUUAAGGCUAAGGAUCCUGAGCUGAGGGAUAUGACUUAUGAGGAGAAGCAGAGACUAAGUUUGAACCUUCAGGAUUUGCCUUCAGAUAAACUGGACAACGUUGUCCAGAUAAUUAAGAAGAGGAAUCCUGUGCUUUCUCAACAAGAUGAUGAGAUUGAGGUGGACAUUGACAGUUUUGAUCCUGAAACACUUUGGGAACUUGAUAGAUUUGUGAAUAAUUUCAAGAAGAGUUUGAGUGAGAACAAGAGGAAAGCUGAAUUUGCCCUUCAGGAAACUGCAGAAUCUGACCAUAAUAUUCUGGAUACUAAUAUUGAACGAGUCAUUUCAGAGUCAGCAAAGGGAACUGAAGCAGUCGAAAAGAUUGUUUCCACAUCUUUACCUGUUCAAGGAGAAAAGCAGUGUGAUAAUGUGAGUGAAUCAAGUAGUUCAAGCGGCGCUAGCAGUGAAUCUCGAUCAUCCUCAAGUGACUCUGGCAGUAGUAGUUCGUCUGGACAUGAAUCAGAAGCAGAUAAUUAAACUAGGAGGUGAAUGGAUUGACUUGAGGCCAGCUAUCUUCCCCAUCGCUCCUCUUCAGUUGCCAUCACUUUAUAACCUGCAGGAGAUAGGAAGAUGUUAGAUCAAAAUUUGAGCCAUGUUAGUGAGAUGGUUGUUCAUUUUGGUACAUAAUAUGGUGUGGAGGAACCACCCCAAGGCCCAAGGUAAUCUACCAGUGGUUGCAAGCCUUCAAUUACAAAGUUUUUGGAUUUUUGGAGGUUGAAACUGAGCACCAUUAUUUUUGCUGUUAUCAGAAUUAAUUUACCCUUGUGGUUCUUCCUGGUUCUAGUUUGUAGCAUACUGUAGUUAAACUUACCCAAAUUGCCAGUUACAACUGAUGUGAAAUUGCUUUGUCAAGUUAAUUUAUGGUUUCUCUUUUUGUUCA